GACGAACGCUGGCGGCGUGCUUAACACAUGCAAGUCGAACGGAAAGGCCCUGCUUUUGUGGGGUGCUCGAGUGGCGAACGGGUGAGUAACACGUGAGUAACCUGCCCUUGACUUUGGGAUAACUUCAGGAAACUGGGGCUAAUACCGGAUAGGAGCUCCUGCUGCAUGGUGGGGGUUGGAAAGUUUCGGCGGUUGGGGAUGGACUCGCGGCUUAUCAGCUUGUUGGUGGGGUAGUGGCUUACCAAGGCUUUGACGGGUAGCCGGCCUGAGAGGGUGACCGGCCACAUUGGGACUGAGAUGCGGCCCAGACUCCUACGGGAGGCAGCAGUGGGGAAUAUUACACAAUGGGCGGAAGCCUGAUGCAGCAACGCCGCGUGCGGGAUGACGGCCUUCGGGUUGUAAACCGCUUUCGCCUGUGACGAAGCGUGAGUGACGGUAAUGGGUAAAGAAGCACCGGCUAACUACGUG
rnacentral:rRNA from 1 species